AGAGUUUGAUCCUGGCUCAGGAUGAACGCUAGCGACAGGCCUAACACAUGCAAGUCGAGGGGCAGCGGAGAGGUAGCAAUACCUUUGCCGGCGACCGGCGCACGGGUGAGUAACACGUAUGCAAUCCACCUGUAACAGGGGGAUAACCCGGAGAAAUCCGGACUAAUACCCCAUAAUAUGGGCUCUCCGCAUGGAGGGUCCAUUAAAGAGAGCAAUUUUGGUUACAGACGAGCAUGCGCUCCAUUAGCCAGUUGGCGGGGUAACGGCCCACCAAAGCGACGAUGGAUAGGGGUUCUGAGAGGAAGGUCCCCCACAUUGGAACUGAGACACGGUCCAAACUCCUACGGGAGGCAGCAGUGAGGAAUAUUGGUCAAUGGUCGGCAGACUGAACCAGCCAAGUCGCGUGAGGGAAGACGGCCCUACGGGUUGUAAACCUCUUUUGUCGGAGAGUAAAGUACGCUACGUGUAGCGUAUUGCAAGUAUCCGAAGAAAAAGCAUCGGCUAACUCCGUGCCAGCAGCCGCGGUAAUACGGAGGAUGCAAGCGUUAUCCGGAUUUAUUGGGUUUAAAGGGUGCGUAGGCGGCACGCCAAGUCAGCGGUGAAAUUUCCGGGCUCAACCCGGACUGUGCCGUUGAAACUGGCGAGCUAGAGUGCACAAGAGGCAGGCGGAAUGCGUGGUGUAGCGGUGAAAUGCAUAGAUAUCACGCAGAACCCCGAUUGCGAAGGCAGCCUGCCAAGCCAUUACUGACGCUGAUGCACGAAAGCGUGGGGAUCAAACAGGAUUAGAUACCCUGGUAGUCCACGCAGUAAACGAUGAUCACUAGCUGUUUGCGAUACAGUGUAAGCGGCACAGCGAAAGCGUUAAGUGAUCCACCUGGGGAGUACGCCGGCAACGGUGAAACUCAAAGGAAUUGACGGGGGCCC
rnacentral:rRNA from 1 species